UGUUGCUGAUUAACAGUACAAAGUUUUACUGAAGUAGUCUUUCUUGUCAGUAAGCCUUAUCACAACAUCUUAGGAUGGUUAACCUAACUACAAAAUUCUAGGCUUGGUCUACUUCUGAAUCUUUGUCCUUCUCUAAGCAUAUUAAACCUUAUUGUUUUAUUUGGAUAUGCUCGACAUGUGAAUUUUCUGAAAGACUUUGUAGUGGUAAAAAAUGCUUACUUCUUGAGGACGUUGACAAUAGUACCCAUAUUUAAAUGGAUAAAAAUAGGUUUAUGUGAAUCCUCUGUUUUUUUGCAUGUCCUUCUAAUGGUUUGUAAAGACCAGUCUUUGAAUGAUUUUACAGUUUAUACCCCAGUACUUGGUAAGAUAAAUUACUGAGAUUUCUUUAUUGAUUUUCAGGUUACAGAAAACAAGCUUUACCAAUAUAUCUUAAGGUUGUCGAAAAUUCCUAAUCUAAUAGCUAGCUCAAGUAAGGUGAACUCAUUGGUGCAGAUAUUUCUAAAUGAUCAAACUACUGAUGUGUUGUGAAAUGUCAACUGAUUAUCACUCGGAAACACCUCAUUUAACAAGUAUCCAGCUUAAGGCUAGAGUAAUGGACAUGAAUAGAGCUAAGUUUGCUAGGCAGUGAAGUCUUGUUGGUAAUAAGCAGCUGCUAACUUGUUGGAAGAUUCUGAAGUUGGUUUGUUAAGUUUGUCAAAGGAAUAUCUACAGGUUGAACUUUCUUUUUGCUUAGUGUUGAAAUUUUCAGAUUUGGAAGAUUGUAAAAGUUUUAAUUGAGAACUUAUUUUCAUACAAAUUUAGU